AGCUACAGAAUAGUCUAUAUACCAGGACCACCGAGAGAGACCAGCUACAGAAUAGUCUGAACACUAGAACUAUGGAGCGUGACCAGCUACAGAAUAGUCUAAAUUUCAGGACCACCGAGAGAGACCAGCUACAGAAUAGUCUAAAUACCAGGACCACAGAGAGAGACCAGCUACAAAAUAGUCUGAACACUAGAACUAUGGAGCGUGACCAGCUACAGAAGGAGAUAGAAAGGCUGAACUGGAAUAUCAAAGGGUCCUGUCCUGAAGGAUGGAGAAGGUUUGGCUGCAGCUGUUACUACCUCUCUACUUAGAGGAAAUCCUGGACUGAGAGUAGACAGGACUGUCUGGAGAGAGGAGCAGACCUGCUGAUCAUUAACAGUGAAGAGGAACAGGCAUUCAUCAAUGGGUUUGAAGCAGUCACUUUUGCCUGGAUUGGUCUGACUGACUCUGUUACUGAGGGGACCUGGAAAUGGGUGGACGGCACCCCACUGACC